GCAGACGCGGCUUGGAUCACGAGUUGCUGUGGCUCUGGCGUAGGCCGGCGGCUACAGCUGAUUCGACCCCUAGCCUGGGAACCUCCAUAUGCUGCAGGAGCAGCCUAAGAAAAUGGCAAAAAGACAAAAAAAAAAAAAAAAAAAAAAAAAGGCAAACACAGGAGGAGGAGGGCAGUGGAGGCCAAGACCUCUGGAGUCUAGGACUCAAGAGCUCACGCCUUCUCUGCCAGGGACUUGCAAAGCUCGUGAAGACCUUCCUCCACCUGCCCUAGGAACUCCCUGGCCAGUGGAGCAGGAAGCCAGCAAACAGACUGGUCUGUUCAGCAAUGGUCCCCUUCCAAGGGGCUUUCAGGUAAGACUGUGCAAAUCCAGAUUUUCUUUAGUAGGGUCACAUUCAGCAGGUGCACCUAAGAACCUCACAUUCGUAGGUUCCUCUCUCAGGGCCCCCGUUCUCUUGUACUUCCAUGGCUUCCCAAAUCCAACCGAAUGGGCUUGCCUUUCAGCAGGGGGUGGCCCUUUGGCCUGUGGGAAUCACUGGGUACAUUUGUACUGACCAUCUGCUAUGUUUAGGGAACUCUAUGUACAUUAUCUUACUUUUGUCAACCACUCUUCAGUAGGUAUUACCACCUCCACUGCACAAAGAAACAGACUCAGAGCCAAAGUGACUUGUGACAGUUCCCACGGUAAGUGGCAGCAGAUCCAAUUUUCCAACCAAGUCUUUUGAAUCCAACGAAGUUUCCCAAUAUUUACACUGAAAACAGUCCUGUUUUUUGUUUUUGUAUUUUGGGGGUUUUUUGGGCUGUGUCCAUGGCACGUGGAAGUUCCCAAGCCAGGGAUGGAACCCACAUCACAGUACUGACCUGAGCUGCUGCAGUGACAAUCAUGACAAUGCUGGAUCUCUAACCUGCUAUGCCACAGGGGAACUCAAAAUGCUCCUAGGUUUGAAUCCUAGGUCUUUCGGUUUCCUGCUGUGUGACUUUUUUUUUUUUUUUUGCUUUUUAGGGGCGCACCUGCAGCAUAUGGAGGUUCCCAGGCUAGAGGUCUAAUCAGAGUUAGAGCUGCCAGCCUAUUCCACAGCCACAGCAACAUGGGAUCUGAGCCACGUCUUUGACCUGCACCACAGCUCAUGGCAACGCCAGAUCCUUAACCACCGAGUGAGGCCGGGGAUCAAACUCACAUCCUCAUGGACACUAGUUGGGUUUGUUAACCGCGGAGCCACAAAGGGAACUCCCCUCCUGCUGUGCGACUUUGGGCAAGAACGUUAACCUCCGUGAACCUUGCUUCCCUCUGUAAAGCGAGGCUACUAAUAGGAAUAGUCCUAGGAGAGCUGUGAGGAUUAAAUGAGAUCAGAAAUUGUAGAGCAUUUAGCACAGGACCUGGUUCAGUCAAUGCUUCAUUUCUUCCCCUCUUUGUUUAAUGUGUGACUAGAUGAAUCCCUGCCCUGAUUUGCUCAUUUGCUCACCAUUCAUUCAAUGAUCUAUUAUUACCAACCACUGUACUCGGUACAGGGACACAGUGAUGAGCAAAACAACAUUCCCGCUCUCCGCUCCCGUGGAGCUCAUGGGGGAGAGGAGAGAACCAAACAAAGACACUGAUGCAUCAAUCAAACAAAUAACACAAGUAAGUUUACAAUGACGACCGGUAAGUGCCAUGAAAGAAAACUGCAGGGUGAUGUGAAAGAAUACAAGGUGGGGCUUGGGGUUCCCAUGGUGGCACAGCAGCAGCAAAUCCAACUAGGAACCAUGAGGUUGUGGGUUCGAUCCCUGGCCUCGCUCAGUGGGUUAAUGAUCUGGCAUUGGCGUGAGUGGUGGUGUAGGCAGGCAGCUGUAGCUCCGAUUAGACCCCUAGCCUGGGAACAUCCAUAUGCCGCUAGUGAGGCUCUAAAAAGAAAAAAAAAAAGAACAUGGGACUUAUUUCAGACUUGGGGUCAGGGAAGGUCUCCUUGUGGAAAUGAGUUUAGGCUGAGACCUUGGAGCGGACAAAAUUCCAAGAUGAUCCCCCAGAUUCCCAGCCCCUGAUCUACACACUCUCCUAUCUUAUCUCCUCCCCUUGGGUGUGGGUGGGACUGGGACUGGGAUAGAUUCCACUCUUGUGAUUAGGUUAUAUGACAAAGGUGAAGGAUUUUACAGAUGUAAUUAAGAUCUCUAAUCAGCUGACUUUGAGUUCAUCAAAAGGGCGAUUAUGCUGGGUAGGCCUGUCCAAAGGGCCCUUGCUGUAGAAAGAGAUCUGAAGCCUGAGAGAAACUUGGCUGCUGGCCUAGAAGGGGUAAACUGCCAUGCUGCGAGGGGAAGCCACAGGCAAGCCCCUAACAGAGACCUCUCAUAGGGGAGCACGGUCCCUGAUUGACAGCCAGCAAGGAAAUGAGGAGUCCAGUCCUACAACGGCAAGGAAGCACAUCCUCCCAACACCCUAAGGGAUCUUGGAAGUGGAUCUUUCCCUCAUUGAGCCUUCAAGGGAGGAUGCAGCCCUGCCAUGACUUUAUCCCGUGAGGCCCUGAGUGGAGGAUGCAAGUAAAAUGGGCCAGACUUCCAAUACUUGAAAACUAUGAGAUGAUAACUUUAUGCAGCCAUAGAAAACUAAUACAGGAGUUCCCGUCAUGGCGCAGUGGUUAACGAAUCCGACUAGGAACCAUGAGGUUGCGGGUUCGGUCCCUGCCCUUGCUCAGUGGGUUAAUGAUCUGGCGUUGCUGUGAGCUGUGGUGUAGGUUGCAGACGCGGCCCGGAUCCCGCGUUGCUGUGGCUCUGGCGUAGGCCGGUGGCUACAGCUCCGAUUGGACCCCUAGCCUGGGAACCUCCAUAUGCCGCGGGAGCAGCCCAAGAAAUAGCAAAAAGACAAAAAAAAAAAAAAAAAAAAAAAAAAAAAGAAAGAAAACUAAUACAGUCUUGAAGGAGGGGCAGGAGUUAGUGAGAAAAAUAAAGGGAAGAGCAUCCCAAAUAGGGGAUGGCAUCUAGGAAGGCCCAGAGGUAGAAUAAUC
rnacentral:lncRNA from 1 species